UACGUAGGGGGCAAGCGUUGUCCGGAUUUACUGGGCGUAAAGAGCGUGUAGGCGGCCGGGUAGGUCAGCUGUGAAAACUCGAGGCUCAACCUCGAGACGUCGGUUGAAACCACCUGGCUAGAGUCCGGAAGGGGAGAGUGGAAUUCCUGGUGUAGCGGUGAAAUGCGCAGAUAUCAGGAAGAACACCCGUGGCGAAGGCGGCUCUCUGGGACGGUACUGACGCUGCGACGCGAAAGCGUGGGGAGCGAACAGG
rnacentral:rRNA from 1 species